rfam:Glycine max cultivar Williams 82 chromosome 20, whole genome shotgun sequence.
UUCUUAUUGAAUGAUGACUAUUACGUGUCAUGUUCUGAUCGACCAAUGACAACAACAAUAAUUCGACAUCCAAUCAGAACAUGACACGUGACAGUCAUCAUUU